GCACCGGAAGCGGAAAUGGGCCAGGGCUCCGGCGGAAGUGGCCGUUGUCCGGGGAGACGCAGCGCUGCAGGGGUGGCCGGCGCCGGGGCCGGGGCUGCGCCGAAGAUGUGGCGGCUGCUGCUGGCGCUGGCCUGGCUCGGUAGGGCCCUUCCUGCAGGGGCGUUGGCGGAGCAGAGCGCCGGCGGGCAGCCCCGCUCCCCCGGGGCCAGCUCCGCGCAGGGCGGCGGCGAGCCGGUGCGGUACCGGACUGCGGAGAUGGCAGACGCGAUGCUGGGCAGCGGGCUCCCCGCGCAGCAGGCCGUGGUGCUCUCGGUGGUGCCGGGGGAGGCGAGGGACGGCCAGGCGUCCGCCGUCACUACGGGGGCUUGCGAUGCGGCGGCCGGAGGCGCUGCGUGUGGCGCUGGGAGCAGCCCCGCGGCUCCCCUCGGCCCGGCGGGCGGCCAGGGCCGGGAGCAGGCCGUGCUGGAGACGGUGCUGCCCGCGCCGGCCGAGGACUCGAACGGCACCGAUAGCACCAAAGCUCCCAAAGUGAACUGCGAGGAGAGGAACACAACUGGCAUCGAGCGCUUCACACUGCAGAUCCUGAAUGUGUCCCAGGACCUGAUGGAGUUCUUAAACCCAAACAGCAGUGACUGUACGUUAGUCUUGUUCUAUACACCAUGGUGUCGCUUUUCUGCCAGUCUGGCACCUCAUUUUAAUUCUUUACCUCGAGCAUUUCCAACUCUUCGCUUCCUGGCACUGGAUGCAUCUCAGCACAGCAGUUUGUCAACUAGAUUUGGAACUGUGGCUGUACCCAAUAUCCUCCUUUUCCAAGGUGCUAAACCUAUGGCUAGAUUUAAUCAUACAGACAGAACGCUGGAAACACUGAAAGACUUCAUUUUUAAUCAAACAGGUAUAGAAGCUAAAAGCGAUGUGGCCGUGACUGAGGAAGACUGGGAAGGCCCCCUGCCCAGUGUUCUGACGAAAGGCAUAGACUGGCUGCUUCUGUUUUCUUUGCUCUUUCUGGCUAGCUUUGUCAUGUAUGCUACUGUUCGAACGGAGAGCAUUCGGUGGCUGAUCCCAGGACAGGAGCACGAACAUCAGGAAUAAUCUGAGAUGCCAAAGGAGGGACGGAAUUUCCCGUUUCCUGGUGAAGCAAGAGUUUGUAUGGACUAAAAUCUUCUCAGUCUCACUGGCUGACGACAGAGGAGAGGAGCCAAGUUUUACUUGAUCUCAAAGCUUCGGGCUGGUCUGAGUUAGGUGAAAGAGAUGCCAUCUACAAAGAGUUCAAUUUCAAAAAUUUUAAUCAGCCCCACAAAUUGGUCAUUCGUUCUGUUUGGGUUACAACGUUUGUUCUGUUUAUCAGCCACGCGGGCAGGGCUGCCCCACAUGCGUAACCAAAAGGAGCAACUGUGAGCAGGUCAGUAGCUGCAGUUUGGGCUUUUUCCUCAUUAAAACACCUUUGGAAAAUGAAUGGAAAAUUCAGUGGGUUUGAAUUCAGUUGGAGACCACUGUUUGGAAAAAUGCAAGUGAGACUGAUGCUGCCUGAGCUAAAGAGGAUGGUCACUCACAAUCUUUUCUUUACUUUUUUGGUUAAGGAAACCUGGUGUCUUGCAACUCUUUAUACAUUAAUUUUAUAUUUUUUUUAUGGGGGUGCUGGAAAGAUGCUCAUUAAAUGCAAACAGCACAUCUCUCUGUCUUGGUUGUUUAACUUUUUGCAUCCCCUUGCUUCUGGAGUAAUGCCCAACUACAUUCCCAAACCAUAAAUUGCCUUUUACACCAGCAGCUCUCGCUUUCUGGUACUCUCGCGAAGGAGAGACACGCUUUGGGAUAUUAUUUUCUGCAGCUGUAAUUAAAAAUGGACUCUGGCUGGCAGAAUAAACUAAAAUAAAACUACAACGCCCCUAUUUAAAAAUUAACCAUUACUCACCAAAAGCACAUCAAACCCACUUAGCGGACAUCCGUUAAUCCCGCGGUGAGCCGUUUCAGGCUUUAAUGCACACUGUUUUACACGUUAAGGGUUUUGAAGUCGCGGGCCAGUGCUGACCUUUCGCAUCUGCUCCUCUCGCAGUAGGAAUCUCCGCUCGCUGCUCCCCGUCAGGGCGGAUUAACGUGACGAAGUGCAGCGCUUCUGCUGGCUGCAGUUUCGGGUUUUGAUCAGAAUUAUUUCUUUCACAAACAAUCACGUUUGGCUAAAACGUUACAUCUGCUCUGGAAAGCCACUGGCAGGGCCACAGCUUAUCAGGGUGAGAAUGAAAUCAUUCCUUCGUGUAUGAGUAAAAAGAAACAUCGGGGAAGACGGUAGAGUUUUGUUCUGCUGUGGCCAGCUCCGUCCCAUCCAGAACGUGGCGCGAUGGGAUAAGGAACUUCCCUGUUCUUCUACGCUGCACCUGAGCUCUGCAGAAGCCAGAGGGUUCGAGCACCUUUCUGAAGUGGAGUAUUCGCUUAAAUUAAUUCUUCAGUGGUCUGUUUUACAGUAGCAUCAUGUCAUGGGCCGGCACCGUGUGGUCGAGGAUGGGUCAGGCAGAGGCGCGAAGCGGGUUGGCUGCGGAGCGCCUUAGUGGGGGGCUCGGGUGCCUGAAUUCCAAAGGUUGGGACUGGGGACUAACAGCACCUUGUUACUAGUUUAUUUUUAUAGUGGUUUGUGUGAUGGCUUUAUUACAGUACAGCCAGGGGUUUGAUUUGCUGGGCCAAACAUUUGCUUUAACAAGUAAAAUUAUCAUUGUUCUUUCAGUUGCACAGCCAAGAGAGUUUAUUAUUUUAAGUGGCUGAUUGCUUUAGCAGGUGCUCAGUUAAUGGGGCUUCGCUGUAUUAUUUAAUGUUUUUAGGUAGGGUGCAAAAAGCUCAUUUUAAAAAGUCAUGUUUCUUGAAGUAGCUUUUUUAUUUGGUGCAAACCUCCUAAGUGCAACCUUUAUAUUCCAUUUUUGAGCACAAAGCACACCAAAAUGGCUUGGGAGGUGGAGAGCCACAUUAAGCUGAUGGUGUGGCUGGAGGAUUUCUUCCACGUUCAAGUUCAGUCCCGAAACCUGGGAUGAUUUCCCCUCUUUUUCUCGAAAAUCUAAUUAUAGAGCUACAUUAUUUCAAUAAAUAAAAUCAUAUUUAUGAGUGUAUGUUUACCUAGUGCUAAGAAACUGGAACCAGGGGAGGAAAAAAAAAAGGCAUUUCUUUUUAAUAUUUCUAUAUGAAGUGAUAUAUCACAAAUACCAUGCGACCUCGUUGCAGGUUUCCUUGGGAUUUAGGAUGUCUUCUUAUUUUGCAGUAGUCUUUAUGGCACCUAUAAUUAUUUUUAUCUACCUAUAAGCAAAUUAAUGUAUUUUGUGAUACGGUUGUAUUGACCCAGUAGAGACUAGGCUUGAAACUUUUACCGUUCCCAGAAAGAAGUUUUUAUGCUGCCUUCAGAUAUCUCCAUGUUCUCUCACUUGUACUCCAUCGAGUCUAUAAAUCUUUUUGGUGGGAUAGGCGAUUAAUUUUGGUGUGAAGUCUGUUCAUUGAAUCACCGAGAAUAUUAUCUGCUUUCUGUUCAUGAAAUCCAGGUGCAAUCACUUACUGUAAUAAAAAUGAGAAUAGGAAAAAUGAUCCUCGGCACCGAGGCUGCUGGAAAAGUCAAGAUGUGACAAGGAAGAAGGCCAGUUGAAUCACAAACGGGGCACAUGACACUUGCACCUGCUUUAUGGCAAAGCAAUGUCACAGCUUAGGUCACUGCUGAGCUUAGAAGGUGAAGCCUGCGACUCAGACCCCUUUUGGGGAGCUGCAUCUUGAGCAUCAUCAGGACCAUGUCGCUUCUCGUGCCACACCUGGUCUAGAUUGCACCAAGUGAGUGUAAACUUCCCUUGCCUGCAAGCGGCUUGGGCUUUUCCUGGGACAGCAUUCCUGAAAUUGCCUUCUGUCAUCUCCCGCGGCUCUUGACAUUGUACCGGUACCUGUGUGAGAAACAUCCCUGUUGAGGAAAGGCCAUGCCUCCGAGCUCCGCUUCCCUUUGCCUCCAUUUAUUCUUCAUGUUCUUCAAAUUGGCUUUUGGAUUUAUGACGCGUGUUGCCCUACAAGCAGAGAAGCUGAAUCACCACCCAGAAUGGUUCAAUGUCUACAGCAAGGUUCAGAUAACUCUGAUUUCCCAUGACUGCAGUGGGCUGACCAAGAGAGAUGUGAAGCUGGCUAAAUUUAUUGACAAAGCUGCUGCCUCAGUGUAACCAAGAUGUAAAGCUCUUUAAUACAGUGUCCACCAAUAUUUUGAUUUAAA